UACAGAGGGUGCAAGCGUUAAUCGGAAUUACUGGGCGUAAAGAGCGCGCAGGCGGUCGUUCAAGUCGCGUGUGAAAGCCCCCGGCUCAACUGGGGAGGGUCACGCGAUACUGAUCGACUCGAAGGCAGGAGAGGGUAGUGGAAUUCCCGGUGUAGUGGUGAAAUGCGUAGAUAUCGGGAGGAACACCAGUGGCGAAGGCGACUACCUGGCCUGUUCUUGACGCUGAGGCGCGAAAGCUAGGGGAGCAAACGGG
rnacentral:rRNA from 1 species